GGUGUUGGAGGUGGAGGUGAUGGGGAGGUGAUGGGGAUAAUGUAUUUAUAUUUUUUAUUGAACCUUUAUUGAACCUUUAUUGAACUAGACAAGUCAGUUAAGAACACGUUUUUAUAAUGCUUGAUGUUUCACUCCUGUCUGUUUUGAAAUAAGUACUGCAACGCAGCGUACUAAUGCUCUUCCUGUAGCUGACUGAAUCCUAGGGUCCCAUAUAGCACCCUAUACCCUAUAGAGUGAACUACUUUACACCAGUGGCCAUAGGGCUCUGGUCAAAAGUAGUGCACUAACUAGGGCAGCGGUUCUCAAAGUGGGGUACUGUAGGGUAUCCGUUUUAGUAGAUCUCAAUAUAUACACUUCAUGACCAAAAGUAUGUGGACACCUACUCGUCAAAUAUCUCAUUCCAAAAUCAUGGGCAUUAAUAUGAAGUUUGUCCCCUUUUUGCUGCUGUAACAGCCUCCACUCUUCUGGGAAGGCUUUCCUGUAGAUGAUGGAAAAUUGCUGCGGGGACUUGCUUCCAUUCAGCCGCACUGAUGUUGGGCUAUUAGGCCUGGCCCGAAGUCGGCGUUCUAAUUCAUUCCAAAGGUGUUCGAUGGGGUUGAGGUCAGGGCUCUGUGCAGGCCAGUCGAGUUCUUCAACACCGUUCUCGACAAACUAUUUCUGUACGGACCUCGCUUUGUGCACGGGGGCAUUGUCAUGCUGAAACAGGAAAGGGCCUUCCCCAAACUGUUGCCACCAAGUUGGAAGCACAGAAUCGUCUAGAAUGUCAUUGUAUGCUGUAGCGUUAAGAUUUCCCUUCACUAGAACUAAGGGACCUAGCCUGAACCAUGAAAAACACGGUGGUCCCGUUCUGUGAGCUUGUGUGGCCUACCACUUUGCGGCUGAGCCGUUGUUGCUCCUAGACGUUUCCACUUCACAAUAACAGCACUUACAGUUGACCGGGGCAGCUCUGGCAGGGCAGAAAUUUCACGAACUGACUGACUUGUAGGAAAAGUGGCAUCCUAUGACGGUGCCACAUUUGAAAGUCACUGAGCUCUUCAGUUAGGGCCCUUCUACUGCCAAUGUUUGUCUAUGGAGAUUGCAUGUCUGUGUGCUCGAUUUUAUACACCUGUCAGCAAACGGGUGUUGCUGAAAUAGCUGAAUCCACUAAUUUGAAGGGGUGUCCACAUACUUUUUAUUUUAUUUUUUACAUAUAGUCAAUAUUAAUAACAACAACAGAUUAAAAUAAUUUUGGCAAAGGGAUCCGUGGAAUAAGUUAAGAGAGUGUAAUACAAUAAAAUACAAUGUAAUUUUAUUAAUCUCCACUUUUCUGUCCUCAACCCUGCGCCUGGGUGGCUUACAGGGAUAUUGGUAUCCACAGUACUCCACCAAUUGUACAUUUUUCAACUCAAUUACCCCCCCAAAAUAUUAUAUUUUUUACAAACAAAUGCACUGUAAUUUAAGCUUCAAAAUGGCAAUGAUUUCUUUCUGCCUCGUGGCAAAAUGAGUAGAAUUGCAGAAAAUUCGGCAACAUUUUCUCGUUGCCAAGGAGAUGGGUCUUUAAAACGUUCCUUCCCCGACACCAAAGACUUGGUUCGUCCGGCCAAGGUGGUGCUAUGCCAACGUCAUAGCAGAAGUCCUUGUAUUUUUAUCUCACUCGAGUUGUGUUCUGAUUAGGAGUUUGAGAACCCCUUAUCUAAGUGUCUACAUAGUUUAUAUCUACAUAGUUUUAUGUACUAUUGUUCUUGAAAAUGCUUUUUAUGUGAAGGAGAUGUAUAGAUGGAUUGAUUGUUGAUGUUUAGACAGAGUAUCUUUGAUUUUUCAUUUAACAUUGUUGUUCUUUCUUUUUUUUAAAACUUAAUAUAUGAAUUUAAUGAUGAAUGGAAUAUCCCAUGAAGGUAUUAGCUGUCUACAAGCAAGGCUGUUUCCUGGUUGUCUACAAGCAGUGCUGUUUCCUGGUUGUCUAUAAGCAGGGCUGUUUCCUGGUUGUCUACAAGCAGGGCUGUUUCCUGGUUGUCUACAAGCAGUGGUGUUUCCUGGUUGUCUAUAAGCAGGGCUGUUUCCUGGUUGUCUACAAGCAGUGCUGUUUCCUGGUUGUCUACAAGCAGGGCUGUUUCCUGGUUGUCUACAAGCAGGGCUGUUUCCUGGUUGUCUACAAGCAGUGCUGUUUCCUGGUUGUCUACAAGCAGGGCUGUUUCCUGG
ensembl:lncRNA